rnacentral:rRNA from 1 species
GAUCAUGGCUCAGAACGAACGCUGGCGGCGCGUUUAAGCAUGCAAGUCGAGCGGCAAGGGCCUUCGGGCCCUAGAGCGGCGGACGGGUGAGUAACACGUGGACAAUCUGCCCCCCGGCCCGGGAUAGCCCAGGGAAACCUGGAUUAAUACCGGAUGAGACGGGACCCGCGAUGGCGGGAUCCGGGAAAGGCGCUGCGGCGCCGCCGGGGGAUGAGUCUGCGUCCCAUUAGCUAGACGGCGGGGUAACGGCCCACCGUGGCGACGAUGGGUAGCCGGCCUGAGAGGGUGGACGGCCACAUUGGAACUGAGACACGGUCCAGACUCCUACGGGAGGCAGCAGCUAAGAAUCUUCCGCAAUGGGCGAAAGCCUGACGGAGCCGACGCCGCGUGAACGAAGAAGGCCGUGAGGUUGUAAAGUUCUUUUCGGGAGGGGGAACAACCGUGGCAGGGAAUGGCCGCGGGAUGACGUGAAUCCCGGAAUAAGCCCCGGCUAACUACGUGCCAGCCGCAGC